rnacentral:rRNA from 1 species
AGAGUUUGAUCAUGGCUCAGAUUGAACGCUGGCGGAAUGCUUUACACAUGCAAGUCGAGCGGCAGCGCGGGGGCAACCCUGGCGGCGAGCGGCGAACGGGUGAGUAAUACAUCGGAACGUACCUUUUAGUGGGGGAUAACUAUCCGAAAGGAUAGCUAAUACCGCAUACGCCCUGAGGGGAAAGGGGGGGAUCGCAAGACCUCUCGCUAAAAGAGCGGCCGAUGUCGGAUUAGCUAGUUGGUGGGGUAAAGGCUCACCAAGGCGACGAUCCGUAGCUGGUCUGAGAGGAUGAUCAGCCACACUGGAACUGAGACACGGUCCAGACUCCUACGGGAGGCAGCAGUGGGGAAUUUUGGACAAUGGGCGCAAGCCUGAUCCAGCCAUUCCGCGUGAGUGAAGAAGGCCUUCGGGUUGUAAAGCUCUUUCGGCAGGAACGAAACGGCUGUCCCUAAUACGGAUGGCUAAUGACGGUACCUGAAGAAGAAGCACCGGCUAACUACGUG